rnacentral:lncRNA from 1 species
CCCGCGCCUGGCCGUCGACGCCCUCGCCGAGUGGCUCUCCGUCCUCAGCCUCUACCGCUCCUGCAAGCGCGCCGCCGCCUGCUUCGCCGCCAAGCCGCCGGCGCCGUGAGAGAUAAGCGUGCCAUCUCUCAAAUGGGAUCAUCUGCAAUACUGUCUACUUGAGUAGUAGUACUUAGUAGAGUAUAUGAUUAUGAAUUUGGAAUUUGUGUUUGGUGUAAUUAUUAAUCGUGUGAUUAAUUAACUAAGAUGGCACUAGUAUCAUACAUGCAACAAGAACAUGAGUUUCUGAUUUGAUUAAUUGAUUAAUUGGUGUGCUUAAUUGGUUCAACCUCCAAUAAAUCGGCACUACCAUUAAUUAGUUAUAAUCAAAUUGCUGCUGUUGAUGCUGAUGACGUUGGUAUGUGCAAUAAUUGUUGUUGGGCUUAGGUUUAAACUUGUGGUUGGGUUUCUCUGGGUGGCCAUCGCUGAUCAAAUUUACCCAUAAAACUUUAACACUUUUUUAACCUAAAGUUUCUCUAUGUGGC